rnacentral:rRNA from 1 species
GACGAACGCUGGCGGCGUGCUUAACACAUGCAAGUCGAACGGUGAAGCGAGUGCUUGCACUCGUGGAUCAGUGGCGAACGGGUGAGUAACACGUGAGUAACCUGUCCAUCACUCUGGGAUAAGCACUGGAAACGGUGUCUAAUACUGGAUACGACCAACCCUUGCAUGGGGUGCCGGCGGAAAGAUUUAUCGGUGAUGGAUGGACUCGCGGCCUAUCAGCUUGUUGGCGGGGUAAUGGCCCACCAAGGCGACGACGGGUAGCCGGCCUGAGAGGGUGACCGGCCCAGCUGGGACUGAGACACGGCCCAGACUCCUACGGGAGGCAGCAGUGCGGAAUAUUGCACAAUGGGCGGAAGCCUGAUGCAGCGACGCCGCGUGGGGGAUGACGGCCUUCGGGUUGUAAACCUCUUUCAGCAGAGAAGAAGCGAAAGUGACGGUACCUGCAGAAGAAGCACCGGCUAACUACGUG